GGGGAGCAAACAGGAUUAGAUACCCUGGUAGUCCACACCGUAAACGAUGUCGACCAGCCGUUGGGUGCCUAGCGCACUUUGUGGCGAAGUUAACGCGAUAAGUCGACCGCCUGGGGAGUACGGCCGCAAGGUUAAAACUCAAAUGAAUUGACGGGGGCCCGCACAAGCGGUGGAGCAUGUGGUUUAAUUCGAUGCAACGCGAAGAACCUUACCUACUCUUGACAUCCUGCGAACUUGUGAGAGAUCACUUGGUGCCUUCGGGAGCGCAGAGACAGGUGCUGCAUGGCUGUCGUCAGCUCGUGUUGUGAAAUGUUGGGUUAAGUCCCGUAACGAGCGCAACCCUUGUCCUUAUUUGCCAGCGGGUAAUGCCGGGAACUCUAAGGAGACUGCCGGUGACAAACCGGAGGAAGGUGGGGACGACGUCAAGUCAUCAUGGCCCUUACGAGUAGGGCUACACACGUGCUACAAUGGCCGGUACAAAGGGUUGCGAGCUCGCGAGAGUCAGCUAAUCCCGAAAAGCCGGUCUCAGUCCGGAUCGGAGUCUGCAACUCGACUCCGUGAAGUCGGAAUCGCUAGUAAUCGUGAAUCAGAAUGUCACGGUGAAUACGUUCCCGGGCCUUGUACACACCGCCCGU
rnacentral:rRNA from 1 species